UGGGGAAUAUUGGACAAUGGGCGAAAGCCUGAUCCAGCGACGCCGCGUGGGUGAAGAAGGCCUUCGGGUUGUAAAGCCCUUUAAGCCGGGACGAAAAAGCCGAACCUAAUACGUUCGGCCUUGACGGUACCGGAAGAAUAAGCACCGGCUAACUCUGUGCCAGCAGCCGCGGUAAUACAGAGGGUGCAAGCGUUAAUCGGAUUUACUGGGCGUAAAGCGUGUGUAGGUGGCCGCGUAAGUCGGUUGUGAAAUCCCUGGGCUCAACCUGGGAAUUGCAGCCGAUACUGCGUGGCUCGAGUUCGGUAGAGGGCAGCAGAAUUCCCGGUGUAGCGGUGAAAUGCGUAGAUAUCGGGAGGAAUACCGAUGGCGAAGGCAACUGCCUGGGCCUGAACUGACACUGUGACACGAAAGCGUGGGUAGCAAACAGGAUUAGAUACCCCCGUAGUCC
rnacentral:rRNA from 1 species